UCCGGUGUAGCUCAGUGGCAGAGCGUCAGGCUUUUAACCUGUUGGUCACGGGUUCGAUCCCCGUCAUCGGAA
rnacentral:tRNA from 1 species